AUUGAACGCUGGCGGCAGGCCUAACACAUGCAAGUCGAGCGAGCGGCGGACGGGUGAGUAAUGAAUGGGGAUCUGCCCGAUAGAGGGGGACAACUAAGGGUAAGGGUGGCUAAUUAAGCAUACUAGCGGAUGAACCCAUAUGGGCAUGGCUAGUAGGUGGGGUAAAGGCUCACAUAGGCGACGAUCUCUAGCUGGUCUGAGAGGAUGAUAAGCCACACUGGGACUGAGACACGGCCAAGACGCCUACGGGAGGCAGCAGUGGGGAAUAUUGCACAAGGGGCGCAAGCCUGAUGCAGCCAUGCCGCGUGUAUGAAGAAGGCGUUAUGGAUGUAAAGUACUUUCAGCGGGGAGGCGUUACCCGCAGAGGAAGCACCGGCUAACUCCGGGCCAGCAGCCGCGGUAAUUC
rnacentral:rRNA from 1 species